UACGUAGGGGGCAAGCGUUGUUCGGAAUUACUGGGCGUAAAGCGUGCGCAGGCGGUUUUGUAAGACUGUCGUGAAAUCCCCGGGCUUAACCUGGGAAUGGCGAUGGAUACUGGCUCGCUAGAGUGCGGUAGAGGAGAGUGGAAUUCCCGGUGUAGCAGUGAAAUGCGUAGAGAUCGGGAGGAACAUCAGUUGCGAAGGCGGCUCUCUGGACCAGCACUGACACUGAGGCACGAAAGCGUGGGGAGCAAACAGG
rnacentral:rRNA from 1 species